GGUGCAGUUUCCAAUGGUGGGUUUGGAACCAAAGCUACUGGGCUCGAACAUAUUGUUCCUAGAAAUCUCACUCCAGCUUGGUACUGGACUGACAUGUAUUCUGCUGAGGUUAUUUUUCAUAACAGAAUGUUGAGCCAUAAGUGUAGGACUUUAGAUCCAGAAAAAGCAAAAGGUUUCUACAUUCCGUUUUAUGCUGGGCUUGAUAUUGGUAGAUUCUUGUUCAAUUAUUCAGCUAAACAUCGAGAUCAAAAAAGUGAAAUGCUUCUUGAUUGGUUAAAAGAGCAACCAACUUUCACUAGAAAUAAAGGAGUUGACCAUUUUAUUAUGCUUAGUAGAUUAACUUGGGAUUUUCGUAGAUUAACUGAUAAUGAUGCAGAUUGGGGUUCGAAAUUACUUCACAUGCCACUAAUGAGGC
rnacentral:lncRNA from 1 species